rnacentral:rRNA from 1 species
UACGGAGGGGGCUAGCGUUGUUCGGAAUUACUGGGCGUAAAGCGCACGUAGGCGGCUUUGUAAGUUAGAGGUGAAAGCCCGGGGCUCAACUCCGGAAUUGCCUUUAAGACUGCAUCGCUAGAAUUGUGGAGAGGUAAGUGGAAUUCCGAGUGUAGAGGUGAAAUUCGUAGAUAUUCGGAAGAACACCAGUGGCGAAGGCGACUUACUGGACACAUAUUGACGCUGAGGUGCGAAAGCGUGGGGAGCAAGCAGG